CAAAGCCACUAUGGAAAACUUUUUGUCCCCUUGAAUGUCACAUGCUGGCAUAAAAAGGUGCAGAGACUGACACGGGCUACUCCCUCAAGACAGCAUCCAAACACAGCCUCAAGGACUGGCUGCUUAGAGAUUGACCACAUCCAGAUUCUGCCCAGGAAAAAUCUGCUUUGGCUCACAGGAGAGAGCACGUUCCAUCACAGCAACAAAGGCACCGAGGACUUCAGGAUGGGGGAAGCAUGCAGCAGACACUGCAGGCAUCUUAAAAGGUCAAGAAAUAAUGCAGACAGGAAGUGGAACCAGUCUGUAAAACCUCAAGGCCCACCUCCAGAGACACACUUCCUCCACGGAGGCUUCCAUUCCUAAACACUCUACAACCUUGAAACAGCAAUACCAACUAGGAACCACCAAAUAUUCAAAUGCACCCAUGAGCCUGUGGGAGACAUUUCUUAUUCAAAAGACAAGAAGUGACUAUGCCAAUUCUGUCUGGGGGCAGACAAACCAGGACUAGUAGACUUUGAGAUCUGUGCAAGCUAAGUGAAGCCAGGGACCAGGAAGACAGGCCAAAGACAAAAGCCAUGUUAUCAACAUGCUAAAUGAGAGUGUGGGAAGGGUGUCAUGUUGUCUACUUCAAUUUUGUUACUGUGAUGAAUAUCCUUGUCAAAAGCAACUUACAGGAGGAAAGGAAUUAUUAUACCUUACAAUUCCAUAGUGUGGUCCAUCACUGCGGGAAAGUCACGGAGACAGGAACUCAAAGUAGCUAGCUACAUGCACAGUCAAAAAUAAAGAGAAACAAAACCCAAGCAUGCCUAGUCCUCAGCUUGCUCUCUCUACUCUUCCCCAAUCCAUGACACGACACGAGAGUUCUAGGUUGUGUCAAACAUACUAUUAGAGAUAACCAUCAUACAUGCAUUUGAGAUACUAAGACCAGUCAAAUGGAAGGUAAGAGAAGAGUUGUCUCUAGAAAAUUAAUUAGAGGGAAUUCAAUAAAAUAAAUAUGCAGAACAGGAAGUGGUUAUGGUCAUCUGUGGGAGUAGUAGGCCUCUGGUCACCACAUGAAGCUUUGAAGGGAAUUCUACAUUGUAGUGGGGGAGGAGGAUUAGAUGUACGUUAGCCAUGUUCUUUGCCCAUAAUUCCAUUGGAUUCAGGGAUAAAGUCAUCCUGUAGAUCUCAGCUUUCCAGAGUUGCCAGUCAGUCCCAAGUUGCUAGACAGUAUCUCUACCCAACACCUACGGCCCCACCUGGCAGACUCUAUCUCUGGUUUCUGUUUCCUCUUGCUGCUAAACUCUCAGCUUCUCAGAUGACCAGCUGGAAGGGGUGCAGGUUCUAGAAAGAAGAGGCAUGUGUAUCUCCAUGCCAGUGGGGAAGCAGGCCAGAGUGAGCAUCCUCCAUCCUGCACACCCAGAAACUUACAACUAGUAUAGCUCAACCUGGUAUGCCCUUCCACGGGGGACCUCAUUCUCUUCUGGUACUUCUGGGCCUAGCCAAUAAGGCUGUCCUGGCCCGCAUCCAGACUCUAAAUCUAACCUUUGGGGACUGCCCCAUGGGCUGACAAUCCUACCUCUGGAAACCCUGAGGUACCUCGUGGAAAGUACACCCAACAUUCACCAAAACCGGAGGAGGCAGGGUUUCUCCUCUCCCUUAGAAAACCUUCUGUGAUCCAGAGCCCCAGCUGGCUGGCCCGUCCAGAACCGCUGCCCCGGCUGCUCUUCCCCCUCUUACUCAUUCUGUCACCCACUCAGGAAGGCGCUCUUUCUAUGAAGGCCUGCUGAAGUUGUGCUGAACCACAACUUCCUCCUCUAAGGUGACCCUUGGAUCUCUGACAUCCCCAAGUUGUUCCACAGUUCUCCAAACACUGAGAAAUGACUGUGCUCAUGUGCCCCAGCAUCAGAGCCCUCCCCUGACCAGCUGCUGUCUAGGGGUGGGGGUUGGGGUGGGGUAUAGAGAAGGGCUGUCUCCAGUAAAUCCAUCAGAGGGAGUUUAAGAAAAUAAAAAUGCAGACCAGGAAGUUAGACUGGGGACCCAGCGGCACUUCAGUUAAGGGCUGUAUUAUAUUAAGCAUCUGUUAGAUAGCAGGGUGUAUUAGUAUGCAUGGCAGUGUCAUGUUAACAACCUACACAGUUUUUAACUCAUGCUCCACGGUGUAUAUUUGCCAGCCUCACUGGUAUUUUUGUGCACGCUAGGAAACCAACAUUGGAUAAUUCUUUCCUGUGCCAAGACCUGUUUAAAUGCACUACAGUGCACAGGAGCUAAGCCAACCACACACCUCCUUAGUCACCCUAUCUCUGAAUACCAGACAACUGUGCAUUUAACACAUUCAAAAAUAAAACAGAAAGGAG
rnacentral:lncRNA from 1 species